rnacentral:rRNA from 1 species
UACAGAGGUCCCAAGCGUUGUUCGGAUUCACUGGGCGUAAAGGGUGCGUAGGUGGUUGUGCAAGUCUGAUGUGAAAUCUCCGGGCUUAACCCGGAAAUGGCAUUGGAAACUGCAUAGCUAGAGGGUUGGAGGGGGGACUGGAAUACUUGGUGUAGCAGUGAAAUGCGUAGAUAUCGUGAGGAAGGCCAGUGGCGAAGGCGGAUCUCUGGACAGUUCCUGACGCUGAGGCACGAAGGUCAGGGGAGCAAACGGG